AAUCUCAGAACCAUUGUUCAAGUCAAUUUUGGAGGCUCCAAUUCAAUAUUUGGAGGAAAAGUCAGUGGUUACAACACCUUGAAAUUUGGACCAAUUUUUAUCUCCCUUAUGCUUACUCUCCACCAACCUGAAGUGGAUACCCCUGCCAAGCAUAGAUACUGAGGGAAUAUAGUCACAGAUCACUGAUGGAUCUUUCAAUUCUACAAUACACUAUGGAUUUAUUUUAUAAAUUCUAAUUCUGUGGUGAACUUCUCCAAUGUGUCAUCUACUUUCUUGAAGGUAUCUGGUUGUUCUGGUGUACUCCAUCCUAGACAGAGCAGAAUAUUGACCACUGAAUCUUGAAACACCAGGGACAACUGCUCUAACUGGAAUGUUACCAAGGUUCUCAGGAGGUGUUCAGAGGGGCUUAACCACUGGGAGUUGCCAACUGCUGGUUUCUGAUCCCAAGGUUUUGUUGCCACGGAUCAACCUGGGCCUCCUCUCAGCAGCAGACUGGAUGCUUCUAAUUCUACUCCUAGCAGCAAAAUGGAAUAUCCUGGUCUGUCUCACCCUGUGUACCAGAAAUAAGUCAACCCAAACUCAAAUGC